rnacentral:rRNA from 1 species
ACGCUGGCGGCAGGCCUAACACAUGCAAGUCGAGCGGCAGCACGGGUACUUGUACCUGGUGGCGAGCGGCGGACGGGUGAGUAAUGCCUAGGAAUCUGCCUGAUAGUGGGGGAUAACGCUCGGAAACGGACGCUAAUACCGCAUACGUCCUACGGGAGAAAGCAGGGGACCUUCGGGCCCUUGCGCUAUCAGAUGAGCCUAGGUCGGAUUAGCUAGUUGGUGGGGUAAUGGCUCACCAAGGCGACGAUCCGUAACUGGUCUGAGAGGAUGAUCAGUCACACUGGAACUGAGACACGGUCCAGACUCCUACGGGAGGCAGCAGUGGGGAAUAUUGGACAAUGGGCGAAAGCCUGAUCCAGCCAUGCCGCGUGUGUGAAGAAGGUCUUCGGAUUGUAAAGCACUUUAAGUUGGGAGGAAGGGCAGUUACCUAAUACGUAUCUGUUUUGACGUUACCGACAGAAUAAGCACCGGCUAACUCUGUGCCAGCAGCCGCGGUAAUACAGAGGGUGCAAGCGUUAAUCGGAAUUACUGGGCGUAAAGCGCGCGUAGGUGGUUUGUUAAGUUGAAUGUGAAAUCCCCGGGCUCAACCUGGGAACUGCAUGCAAAACUGGCAAGCUAGAGUAUGGUAGAGGGUGGUGGAAUUUCCUGUGUAGCGGUGAAAUGCGUAGAUAUAGGAAGGAACACCAGUGGCGAAGGCGACCACCUGGACUGAUACUGACACUGAGGUGCGAAAGCGUGGGGAGCAAAC